UCAAAUUUAAGGUUUUUUUUUGGGGGUGAAUUACGCCCCAUUUUGGCUUUAGCUGGUUGAGAGAAUUAUUUGAAUGGAUUCGAGUUCGAGUCAGCCAGAGUUUGAUUACUUGUUCAAGUUGUUGAUGAUUGGGGAUUCAGGUGUUGGAAAGAGUAGCCUUCUUUUGAGCUUCACUUCUGAUACCUUUGAAGAUCUCUCUCCUACUAUCGGUGUUGAUUUUAAAGUAAAAUAUGUCAAUAUUGGGGGCAAAAAGCUCAAACUUGCAAUUUGGGAUACAGCUGGUCAAGAGAGAUUUAGAACACUGACAAGUUCAUAUUACAGAGGUGCCCAAGGGAUUAUCAUGGUCUAUGAUGUAACAAGGCGAGACACAUUCACUAACCUUUCUGAUGUAUGGGCGAAGGAAAUUGACCUAUAUUCAACAAAUCAAGACUGCAUCAAGAUGCUUGUUGGAAACAAGGUUGACAAGGACAGUGAACGGGUUGUAACGAAAAAAGAAGGCAUAAAUUUUGCCAGGGAAUAUGGAUGCCUUUUUAUUGAAUGCAGUGCUAAAACUCGCGUUAACGUGCAGCAGUGUUUUGAAGAGCUUGUUUUAAAGAUUUUGGAUACGCCUAGCCUCUUAGCUGAGGGCUCCAAGGGCUUAAAAACGAACAUCUUUAAAGAGAAGCCGCC
rnacentral:misc_RNA from 1 species